CUGGGCGCCGCUGCGAUCGGAGUUGGGCGAGGCUGACGUGCCCCGGGGGCCCCCCUUUGCGCAGUUGGGUCGGUGGGAGGAAACCGCCCCCCUCCCUGGGCACUGCAGCCCCGGCGGAUUGUGGAGCGGGGGUGGGCGCCCCCCAGACGAGAGAGCCCCCCAGAAAAGAGAGGAGCCCCCAACCCGGCCCCCCACCACUCCGCUUGGCCACGGGGCAGGGAGGUCCUGACCUCUUUCAAAUCAAGACCAGAUCAGCUGGGGGAACUGCUGUCUCCACACAUGGACGCAAUAAAUAUUUGCUUUUGCCCCAAAGCCCAAGAAAGAGGGAGGGAAUUUCUGUGCCUUCUGGAGUGAAGAAGAUUUGCAAGAAGGAAGAGAUUUUUUUCCCUGAAGUUUCAGAUGAAAGUUGACUGAGUGGAGAAUUUGUGACACACCUCAGGAGUUCUGACUCCCUGACCCCCCAGAUCUAACCCACUCCCCUCCCAUAGCUUGGGAUUUGAUUAGGGGAUUUGCAGAAGAGGGGAGGCAGAAUUUAAGCUGUGAAGAAACUGCAUUGAUCUGGUGCUGGAGGAAAUGCCGAAUUAGCCGUGAGCGGAAGUUGAGACCGAAGCGGGAUCCGGAGGAAAUUAACAGGAUAAUUGGUUCUAGGAAGAAAUGGAUUGAUGUGAUGCCAUUUCUCAUUGAUCCAAGGCUUGGGUGCUGAGGAGAAAUCAACGGGUCAAUCACAUGGAGGGGAGGUUGGGUCGUUAAUGCUAACAAGAUCAAUCAAUCAAUCAGCUGCUGGCCAUGUGGAAAGGGAUCAGUGAUUGGGAGAAGUCAUGCCGAGUGGAAAUUGAUUGGCGAGUGGGUGCCCACGGGAAAAUCAAUCGGUCAAUGCUGAUCUCCCCCGGGACUUAUUGAUCUGGCAUCUGGUUCGAAGGAGGGAUGGACUGAUUGGUUUGGAGGCGCAAUUGACAAACCAGAGGUCAUUGGAAAGAGGAAACUGGCCACUGACUUGGCACCAGGAAGAUAUCAGUCUCCCUGCUAACAAAGAGGGGACGCAACUGAUCCGAGAUCUGGGGCCGGAAGCAAUUUGGAUCCGAUCACUGGUGUUUGCAGGGCAUAGAACUGACUGCUAUGGGAUGCCCUGUGCAGUAUCGAUUGGCUGAUUGAUCUCCGUGGGGGACGGAUCAGGGAGUUGGGGCCGUGAAACUGAUCAGAGGCCCCUGUGCUCAGAGAGGAGACUGACUAAUUGUUUGGGAAAUUGACCAGUUUCCAGGAGAACUGAGCACCAGAAAAGGGGGCUUGGUUGGACCCUGACCAAUUGAUUGAGCCAGGGUAUUAAUCGAUUGGCUGGUGAGAGGGGGAACCAACCAGCUGAUUGGAGAACUGUAUGGUGAGACGAUUAAUCUUAGACUCCUUGGCCUUGGACGGGAAUUGAUCAGUUUCCAUCCAGUGUGGAAAUUGACCUGAUUGGAGCAGUGCGCCGGCUG
ensembl:lncRNA